rnacentral:rRNA from 1 species
GACGAACGCUGGCGGCGUGCUUAACACAUGCAAGUCGAACGGUGAAGCGAGUGCUUGCACUCGUGGAUCAGUGGCGAACGGGUGAGUAACACGUGAGUAACCUGCCCAUCACUCUGGGAUAAGCACUGGAAACGGUGUCUAAUACUGGAUACGACCAACCCUUGCAUGGGGUGUUGGUGGAAAGAUUUAUCGGUGAUGGAUGGACUCGCGGCCUAUCAGCUUGUUGGCGGGGUAAUGGCCCACCAAGGCGACGACGGGUAGCCGGCCUGAGAGGGUGACCGGCCACACUGGGACUGAGACACGGCCCAGACUCCUACGGGAGGCAGCAGGGGGGAAUAUUGCACAAUGGGCGAAAGCCUGGUGCAGCGACGCCGCGUGGGGGAUGACGGCCUUCGGGUUGUAAACCUCUUUCAGCAGGGAAGAAGCGAAAGUGACGGUACCUGCAGAAGAAGCACCGGCUAACUACGUG